AGUGAACGCUGGCGGUAGGCCUAACACAUGCAAGUCGAACGGCAGCACAGUAAGAGCUCGCUCUUACGGGUGGCGAGUGGCGGACGGGUGAGGAAUACAUCGGAAUCUACUUUUUCGGGGGGGAUAACGUAGGGAAACUUACGCUAAUACCGCAUACGUCCUACGGGUGAAAGCAGUGGAUCUUCGGACCUUGCGCGAUUGAAUGAGCCGAUGUCGGAUUAGCUAGUUGGCGGGGUAAAGGCCCACCAAGGCGACGAUCCGUAGCUGGUCUGAGAGGAUGAUCAGCCACACUGGAACUGAGACACGGUCCAGACUCCUACGGGAGGCAGCAGUGGGGAAUAUUGGACAAUGGGCGCAAGCCUGAUCCAGCCAUACCGCGUGGGUGAAGAAGGCCUUCGGGUUGUAAAGCCCUUUUGUUGGGAAAGAAAAGCAGCAGGUUAAUACCCCGCUGUUCUGACGGUACCCAAAGAAUAAGCACCGGCUAACUUCGUG
rnacentral:rRNA from 1 species